AUGAAACUUGGUCUCCUUCCAGGUUGCUUAUUAUUUACAUGUCUUCCACAGCUAGGCUGUGGGGUUUCUGUGAUAGAAACCUGUAUACAGCAUUUGCUCUUCCUGAGUUUGGCAAUGAAUUUAUUACCAAAACAAACCAAGGAGACUGACUUCAGGUAUGCAUUCAGAAAUACUGCACUGUUGAUGUCACUUCAUUGACUUUGGUCUUUAAUUUGUGUGAGGUUUUUUCCCUGUUUGAAGCCUUGAUUUUGAAAGAAAGUCACUUUAUGAUAGACUCCAUGAUCUAAUGUGGUUUUGUAUAUUGG
rnacentral:lncRNA from 1 species